AGCAGCUCACCACUAAGUCUCCGGGUAGCGAGGGUACGUGCGUGACUGGCCACCAGAUGCACCUGCCUCAGAUCCUGCAAGAUUAUUGCAGAAGUGUUGCGUGAGUACAUAAACAACAUAUAUCCAGUAAGUAUAUAGUCUAACCUCGUAGAAGUAGUGACGAGGGGUCGACAUCGACACUUACUAGAGGUCAAUAACUAAAGUGUAGAAGUCAUAAGUAGGCAUGAAAUACAACAAUAACAGUGAAAUAAGAAACAGUAAUUAGUAAUUCUUAAACAUAAUAUCAAUUUAAAGCUUCCAACUAUCACAGGCCAAGUCUUUAACACAUAAGAGCCACCAAGUAAUUCUCAAGUCUCAAAUCAAGAAGGAAAUAUCAAGUAUAUUCGGACUCCGAGCAAUAUCAUGCACGAUUUAUGCCGAGUUCGUACGGCCCGAUCCGGAAUAGUGUGUACGCUGCCGAGGGUCGACCGGCGUGAACCAUAGAUGCAAAUAAUAUAAUGCCGAGGCAUUCGGACCGAUCCACAAGAAUAGAGAAUACUCCACAAACUCCGAUCAAUGACUACUACAUAGGAAUAAUACUUAAAGAAGGCAUAAAUUACGCUAACAAUCAAGUGUUCCGUCAAAACUCAAGGUAAUGAAGCUCAGUCUUUUACAAUCCUUUAUCCAAUUUUGAUUAUAAAUUCAGAUAAUUACACUAACAAGUUUGGUGCAAAUAAUACGAGUAAUACAUGGUAAAGUCCUAAUUGUACCUGGACAUAAGCAUGAUUUUAGCUACAUACAGACUCUCGUCACAUCGUGUGUAUGUAGCACCAACAAUUAUUCGCAAAUAACCAUUUAAAAUACCUACGGGGAUCAUUCUCUCUUAUAAGGUUAGGCAAGAGACGUACCUCAUUUCCAAGUCCUCUUCCUGGUUCACAAUUCAAACUGAUAGCCUAAAAUCGGUGCCGAGCAAUCCAAAACUAGUCAAAGGUUGUACAAACUAAUCAAUAUAUACUUAAAAGUUUAUAAUUUAACUAUUAGACUAAUUACCUAACCCAAUUUGGAAAAUUCUUAAAAUUCACCCUCGGACCCACGUGCUCGAAUUCCAGAAUUUUUUGUAAAAAAAUAUUACCCAUAACCUCACAAACAUAAAUAUAUAAUUUCUACUCAAUUUCAUAAUCAUUUUCGUGGUCUGAUCCCAUUUUUAUCAAAACCUAGGUUUUUCAACAAACUCCUAAAAUUUUCACUUUUUACAUGUAAAAAUCUAUCCAUAAUCUAUGUAUUUAACUUACAUUAGGUAGGAAUCACUCACCUUAUAGUGCUUGAUGAAAACCCCUCACCAAGAAGCUCCAAAUUCGGCCAACACAAUGAGAAAUGGGAGAAAUUAGCCCAAGUCCCAACUUUUAAUCAAGACACUACCUAGCGAUCCUUCUUCACGAUCACGAAGGCAAAGCUUGCCCAGGCCCAGGAACUCUUCAUCGCGAACGCCAAGGCAGUCUCACGAUCGUGAAGGCUUGCCCAGCCUGAGUAUCGCGAACGUGGUCUGACCUUUGCAAACGCAAAGGGUAAUGGGUGCUGACCCCUCCCAUGUCCCUUUCUUAUACGCGAACGCGGACCUGGCCACGCGAACGCAAAGGCCACAGGUCCUGAAGCUUCACGAAUGCAACCAGUUGAUCGUGAACGCGAUGAGUAAAUUACCCAGUCCCCCAAUUCCUUCUCUGCGAAUGCGACACCACCUCCGCGUUUGCAAAGAAGGAAACCAGAACCAGCACAUCAAUACUUUUUUACUUAGCUCUGGGCGAUCCGAAACACACCCGAGCAACCCGGGAUCCCGUCCAAAUGCAUAACCAAGUCCAUAAACACAUAAGGACCUACUUGAACCCUCGGAACACGUAAAACAACAUCAAAACUAAGAAUUGCACCCCAAAACCAAAUUGAAUCAACUUAUGAAUUUUAAACUUUUCAACUAGCUCUGAACGCGUCGAAUCAUACUUAGACAAGUCGGAAUGACACCAAUUUUUUCAUACAAGUCAUAAAUUACCAUACGGACCUAUUCCGAGACUCAGAAUUCCAAACGAACCUCGAUAAAGCCAAAGUCUACUUCAAACCAAAUUUAAAUAACUUGAAAACAUUCAAUGUGCCAACUUUCAAUAUUAAGUGUCGAAACGCUCCUGGAUCACCCCGAAACUCGAUCCCAACACACGCCCAAAUCCAAAAUCAUCAUACGAGCCUAUUGUAACAAUCAAAUUCCGAUUCCGAGGUCGUUUACUCAAAAUAUUGACUCAAGUCAAACUUGAACAUCUUAGGCCACUAUUAAGGAACUAAGUGUUCCGAUUUCAACCUGAACCCUUCCAAACCCAAACCAACCAUCCACACGAGUCAUAAAAUAGUAAAAGCAUAUACGAGGAGUCUUAAUUAGGGGAACGGAGAUUUAGAAAGCAAAACGACAAGUCGGGUCAUUACACAUGACUUGUACUACCAAUCAUUGGGUUAUUAUAUAGAAAUUCAGUUAUUUCACUUAUUGGUUCUUAUUAAUUUCAUUAUAAUUGUGUUCACUGUUAUUUAGCUUACCUAGCGGGUUAGGUUAGGUUCCAUCACGACUAGGUGGAUUUUGAGUCGUGACAAGUUGGUAUCAAAUCACUAGGUUCAUAGGUUCUACGAGUCAUGAGCAAGUGUCUAGUAGAGUCUUGCGGAUUGGUAUGAUGACGUCAAUACCUAUCUUCGAGAGGCUACAGGGCAUCUAGGAAACUUCCCUUCUUUCCUCAUCGUGCGGCUUUGUUUCAGCUUGGCGCUUAUAUCUUUGAUUUCUUCCUAUUCACUCGUAUGCGAUGUUGCGCACUCGGUAUCAGCUAUGCGCUGACGGUUUGUGAUGUUGUGGAUGGACUACGAAUGGCUAUGGAUGCUUGAUUAUAGCUGCGAUAUGUCGUCUAGUCUUGGAAGGGGAUUCAGUGGUAGAUCUUUCGAUUGUUCAAUUGUGGGAAGCAACGGAUUCUUGUAUCUGGUUGGUGAGUAUGGAUUCGGAAGGAUUAAUUUGUUUUCUAGUGGUUGUGACCAUGGUAGGGUCAUGGGGAGAUGUUGAUUUGAGGCUAGCCGGUAGGAUUUGAGGUUGUGUGAUUCAUAUGAGGCUUGAGGAAGUUGGCUUGACGGUCACUAGGGUGAGUAUGUACUUGGCAGAUUCUUUAGAGUGUUUUAUGACCAGAGUCGCAUGGGUUUAUGAAGUAUUCAGCUGAUUAACAGUGCGACUGUUACACCCUAUUUUGCACAAGUCAAAACAAACUACAACUUAUAUUACUCUACAAGGUUAAUUGGAGUUUAGAGUCGCCACCUAGUAUUUAAGGUAUACUAGGACACCUAUACUAUACUACGUAAUACACUUUAAUUAUGGAUUGCGAAACUAGUUGAAAUUCUAGGUAAGGGUUCAAAUUAUCUCGAGGGGAAGAUGUUAGGCAUCCCUCAAGAUCCGCAAAAAAUGUGGUUCCGGUGGACUCGACCAAAUAAAUAAGGGAUUAAGUCAAGAACAAUUAAUUUAAAUAUUUACGAAGAAUUAUAAAAAUAAUUUGAAAAAGAUUGACUAAACACAAGUGUCAUAUAAUAAAAAUAUAUUUAUGUAUAAUAAAAUAUGUAUGAAGAGUGUGGAUGAAGUACAUGAAAAUUUAUGUUUUUUGAUGAUUUAAUAAAUGUACAAAAUAUGUAGCGACAAAUAAAGUAUUUAUAAAUUAAUAUAAUGAAUGUAAUAAAGUAUACACUUGAAAAGAUUUGAUUUAUGUCCAAGGUCAUUUUGAUAAAAUGAAUAAGAUACCGAAAAAGACAUGUUCAAAAUAGUUGAUUAAAAUGAGUAGAAAAAAGAAUUAUAUUUGAAAAUCCUCAUAUGAAUGAAUAAUGACUUUAAAUGAUUUAUUUAACAAAUGAGAAUCUAUAAAAAAAGUUAUCAAAGGAUGAAUAUAAAUAAAAGAUUGAAAGAAGUAGAGAAAUAUAUUUUACACAACCAUGUAUUCUAAAAAUUUGAAUUACUUUGAUGAGAUGCAAAGAAAACUUACAAUUGAAGCUAUCAUGCCAAACCACAUACCAAAUCUAUUAACUUAAAAAUGAGAAGGAAAAGAAUCUAACAUCUCGCAUGAUUAUGUUAUGCUAAACUUCUUCAAAAGUCAUACUUAGUCGAAUUUAGGUUAACAAAAUACCAUUCACAAGUAAGUUGUUUCAACAAGCAUGCUAGUAUAAAUUAUUUACUGUUAGGAAAGGAUUAUGUCAUACUAUUAUCUAAUCCAGAACUAAUUUAAUUAGGAAAGUGUACACCUAUCUAGAUUAACCAUACUAUAGAAUAUAUUCAACCUAGAUAUAUAUGCACAAAUUUUAUAAAUUACCCAACGCACAACAUUGCAAUUUAAGUCGAUUAUUAACUAUAUGCACUUCACCCUAAGUGUUUAGCAAAUAAAUAAUAUUGAAAACAAGCAAGCAUAAUAUCUAUCUAUGAUUUUACUAUGUUUUGUGUUUUGAGUACAUCCAAGAACGGAAAGUACGAAGCGAGAAAUUUGACGGAGUUCGUCUUCGUCUCCGAGAAUCAUCUUUCCAAAGAGUUUCAGAUAAAGUAACUCACAAGAUAAGAGAAAUGAAAUUGUUAGUGAAAUAAUAUAACGUAAAAGAUAAACUAAUAAAGUGACAUGUUUUUGAAAUGGUUUUUGUUUUUAAAUAUAUUUUGAAAAUUGCUCUUGAAAAUGUUUUUGUUUUUUAAAGAUUGUUUGAAAAAAUAUUUUGGAAAAGGUUUUUUGAAAAAUAGUUUUAAAAUAUUAUAGGAAGCUCAGAUGUGUUUUUGAUUUCCGACUAGAUAUGAGAACGGGAACCGCUUGGUUCCGACUAUGGUGGCUGACCGUGUCGCCCUCCAAAGAUUAUUGGUCCGUCGCAUUCUCGUUUUUUAUUUGUCCGUCGCAUUCUCGUCUUUUAUUUUACGAUUUUACGAUGUUUAUCAUCAUCGCCUCUUUAUUUCGGGAUUUCGGACCCGGUCCGGAAGAUCAUUUUGGGGGUCGCGGCCUCAAAAAAUUGUUCUCAUCGGCCGGGUAGCAUCUGGUUCAAAAUCAGUUUAACCAACAAUAUACAUCACAAAACCCCAAAGUUUUUAUUCUAACAGAUUAGUGCCAAACAGUAUAGAAUAUUCAAACACUAUCCGACUCAAAGGGGAAAAGGCAGCAAACGACAAACAAUUAUCCAAGCUCAACCAAAAAUCCCAAAUUGCAACAGUGGCGUGAUAUAAAUGAAGAGAAGCGAAUCCCCCAUCAUAACCCCAAAAUAAACGUAAUCUUGGGUACACAAAGUGUCGCAUAAAGGUACUGUGACGACUCAACAGAAGCAAUGAAGUAUGGUUCUAAUGGCAACAAAAAUUCGGUGAUCAAAAACAAACAGCCAGCCAAUCACAGGGAACGGAAAUUCCAGCAACACGAAGGUCCCAACAAAUGUUUCCAGCAUUCAAAAGGCAUUUAAACAUUAGCCAUAACAGUCCAACUCCAAAGCGGCGAAACAGUGAACGAAAAAACAUAUGAGUCGUCGGAGCUUAAGUUCGCCGGCCAGAUAUAGGCAGCAACAAGAAUCAAAAAAUGGUGAUAAACAGUCGCGUCUCUCGAUGGAAAGAAUGCCUGAGACGGAGAUACAAUACCAGAAAUAGUGCAAAGGUCACCGGAAUAAGUCUCGGGCUAAGUUUCGGGGAAUUUCCGACCAAAGCCCGGUGAGAUUCGAGUCCGUUUCACAACCUGUGAGGAUGUAAGCAAAGAGAGAAGCAGAAGAUUAAACAAAUAUAAGUCCAGAUCUGCCGGUUCAUGGAGUUUGCCGGAUAACAUGUACAUCACCGAAACUCGUCUUUCCGGCCAGAUCUGACAGUCCCAAACAGACCUCUGACGACCUCUGUUCAGAUCUGCCGGUGGCGAUGAAAUUCAAGAGAGAGAGGGGAAAUGACGGCCAUCCAUCAGUGGUUAGUAUUGCCGGCGUUAGUGUCUUUCCAAGCCAUCGCCGGUGGUCAAAUUCGGCGGGCGGUAGAGGAACGGCAAAGGGGAAGGUGGCCGGUUCUCCAGUUUGGAGAUAGAUGAGAGGCUUCUAAAAUUAGGGAGUGCGGCUAUUGUUGAGAGAGUGAGAGGGUGAGAGAAGGCUGAGUGUUAGAGAAAAUGAGAGGGAUUAGGGUUUUCCUUUUAUUUGACAAGGUUUUUUGAACACAAAGGAAAAAUACAUAAACUAGAAUAUGUGAUGCUCAUUUUUUGUGAAAUAAAAGAUAAAUAUAAAAGAAAAUAUGUGGUUCAUAUGUAAAAGAUGUCAUGUCAUAUCAGCAUGACUUGUCACAUCGUAUAUUGACAGGACAUUAAAUUUGAUCGGAC
rnacentral:lncRNA from 1 species